ACCCCGGCGAACUUAAGCAUAUCAAUAAGCGGAGGAAAAGAAACCAACAGGGAUUACCUCAGUAACGGCGAGUGAAGCGGUAACAGCUCAAAUUUGAAAUCUGGCCUCACGGUCCGAGUUGUAAUUUGUAGAGGAUGCUUCGAGCAUGGUCUGGCCUAAGUUCCUUGGAACAGGACGUCAUAGAGGGUGAGAAUCCCGUAUGCGGCCAGGUGCCUACGCUCAUGUGAAGCUCCUUCGACGAGUCGAGUUGUUUGGGAAUGCAGCUCAAAAUGGGUGGUAAAUUUCAUCUAAAGCUAAAUAUUGGCCAGAGACCGAUAGCGCACAAGUAGAGUGAUCGAAAGAUGAAAAGCACUUUGGAAAGAGAGUUAAACAGUACGUGAAAUUGUUGAAAGGGAAGCGCUUGCAACCAGACUUGCGCGCGGCCGAUCAUCCGGUGUUCUCACCGGUGCACUCGGCCGUGCUCAGGCCAGCAUCGGUUUUGGCGGCUGGAUAAAGGCCCUAGGAAUGUAGCUCCUCUCGGGGAGUGUUAUAGCCUAGGGUGCAAUGCAGCCUGCUGGGACCGAGGACCGCGCUUCGGCUAGGAUGCUGGCGUAAUGGUUGUAAGCGGCCCGUCUUGAAACACGGA
rnacentral:rRNA from 1 species